rnacentral:lncRNA from 1 species
UCAAUGUAGUUUUUAGAAUACAACGAAAUUCAGACACGCACACAUACAUAUGCGAUAAUAUAUUCGUUCUAGAAUACUUCGAAAUGAAAGAGGAAACAAAAUGCACCGGUUGCCGGUCGUAAAAGAUCGCUCGUGAAUAUGCAACGAAGCGAAUGCUCUGAGAAGCGAAAUGAGUAAUAUAGGAAAGGUAUAAUGAGUGGCUGAUUAUGAUGUAAGCGGUUUAUCCGAGCGUAAUGAUUCGGGGAGCAGAUUGCAGACCGACGAAUACGCCUUUACUUUCUACCUUUACACCCAUUGUCCGCAGCCAUUGUCGGCCAAUGCGACACGAUUAUUCACCGUUCUCCUCGAUGUCUGACCUUUUCCACGUGAUAUUUAUAAGAUUUGCUACACGACGACCGUGACUUUAGGUGAGGUCGUUAUGCAAAUUACGCGACCUUACAUUUAUUAUACCUGUUAAGUACCUACGUCGAAUCGGUGUUUCGGCAGUGUAUAACGCCAUUCGAGAAACAGACGAGCGGAAUGGAUUAGCAUGUAAAAUAGGUUUCCAGGUUAAAAAAGUGCUCGAUUCUUUCAGAUUAGUCAAAGAUUAUUAUUCGAGAAUCGAAUGCUUGUUGCUCUCGAAAAGUUUGUAUAACGUUUCUUGGAAGAGAAUUGUGAUUGGUUGAGAAUAAAAUGUGACAUGUAUCAUCCAAUUAAUCGAGUGAAAUUUUUGUUAGCACGUUGGCAGGAAUGCCUUUACAUGAACAGGAAGGAAGUGGUCGUAUUUCUAACUGCGAUAGAAAGAAACAUGGAAUUGUCACGUAUUUAACAAGAACGAUAACAGUGCGGAUAUAAGAUUUGUGGGACAGUGGCUUGGAUUUGCAUAUUGGGUCGAUGUGAUAUCUUAAUCGUGGUUUACAAUAAAUGUUUAAUAUAUCUCUGAUCAUUUCUAAGAUUUUUUAAAAAUAAAUCCACGAGUAAAAUGAACGAGUACACAUGCACUUGAUAUACUUAUCGACACGUGGCUAUUAUCGAGCAAAAAAAAAGUAAUCAUCGUAUCACCGAUAAUAAUCAUUAAAACUAUAAAAAUGAAUUACUGAAUUUCGAUUGUUUACUAUCGAUAAUUAUAUAUUUACUAGUCAGAUGGUUAAUGUGAUUUCAAUGAUGUAUGAAAUAUUUAUCUCGAAGAAUACUUUGAAACAAGAAUACCGCAUGAUGUCCAUCAAAACGAUGUCAAGAAUAUCCUGCGGUAAUCGUAAGUCAACUUUAUUCAAAUGAAUCGAAACUAGUAUUUAUUGAACGUGCUAUAUAAGGUGCACUUAAAAAAAACAUAUGUGUCAAAUCAUUUGAAUUUCUAACGCGAGAAGGUGUGACCAUCGUUAAUACGACAAUAAUUAUGACGUGCAAAGUUGAAUCCGUGAAUCAAUGGUGUUAAUGCGCAAG